GAUGAACGCUGGCGGCGUGCUUAACACAUGCAAGUCGAACGGAAAGGCCCUGCUUGCAGGGUACUCGAGUGGCGAACGGGUGAGUAACACGUGGGUGAUCUGCCCUGCACUUCGGGAUAAGCCUGGGAAACUGGGUCUAAUACCGGAUAGGAGCCAUUUUUAGUGUGAUGGUUGGAAAGUUUUUUCGGUGUAGGAUGAGCUCGCGGCCUAUCAGCUUGUUGGUGGGGUAAUGGCCUACCAAGGCGGCGACGGGUAGCCGGCCUGAGAGGGUGGACGGCCACAUUGGGACUGAGAUACGACCCAGACUCCUACGGGAGGCAGCAGUGGGGAAUAUUGCACAAUGGGCGCAAGCCUGAUGCAGCGACGCCGCGUGGGGGAUGACGGCCUUCGGGUUGUAAACUCCUUUCGCUAGGGACGAAGCUUUUUGUGACGGUACCUAGAUAAGAAGCACCGGCUAACUACGUGCCAGCCGCCGCGGUAA
rnacentral:rRNA from 1 species